rnacentral:rRNA from 1 species
AGGGUGUAAACGCUGCAGACUUGGUGUUGGAAGCCCUUUGGGGGCAUUCAGUGCCGGAGAGAAGUUGUUAAGUCUGCUACUUGGGGAGUACGUCCGCAAGGAUGAAACUUAAAGGAAUUGGCGGGGGGAGCACCGCAACGGGAGGAGCGUGCGGUUUAAUUGGAUUCAACACCGUAAACUCACCAGGGAAGACUGUUACAUGAAGGCCGAGAUGAAGACUCUGCUAGAUUUUCAGAGAGGAGGUGCAUGGCGUCAGUGACU